rnacentral:sRNA from 1 species
CUACCUAGCCUGACCUGAUCUGUCCCCUAGGAUCCGCCAGGUGUCCGACGUACAGAAGCGUGUGCAAGUGGAUGUCAAGAUGGCCAUCCUGCAGAUCAUGAAGGAGCUGAAUAAGCGGGGCCGUGUGCUGGUCAACGAUGCCCAGAAGGUGACUGAGGGGCAGCAGGAGCGCCUGGAGCGGCAGCACUGGACCAUGACCAAGAUCCAGAAGCACCAGGAGCACAUUCUGCGCUUUGCCUCUUGGGCUUUGGAGAGUGACAACAACACAGCCCUUCUGCUUUCUAAGAAGUUGAUCUACUUCCAGCUACACCGGGCCCUCAAGAUGAUUGUGGAUCCCGUGGAGCCACAUGGCGAGAUGAAGUUUCAGUGGGACCUCAAUGCCUGGACCAAGAGUGCCGAGGCCUUCGGUGGGUCCCCAGCUCUACCUUGCUCUGUUAUUACCCCACGUGCUGCACCUACUUAUGUUUCUCUCUUCUUUGUGCAGGCAAGAUUGUGGCAGAGCGUCCUGGCACUAACUCAACAGGCCCUGCACCCAUGGCCCCUCCAAGAGCCCCAGGGCCCCUGAGCAAGCAGGGCUCUGGCAGCAGCCAGCCCAUGGAAGUGCAGGAAGGCUAUGGCUUUGGGUCAGGAGAUGAUCCCUACUCAAGUGCAGAGCCCCAUGUGUCAGGUGUGAAACGGUAAGUAUGGCACCUCCCCUGGGGGUGGAGGUGGAUGGAGGGUGGGGGUGUACUCAUGCCAGGUUGGUGCAUCUACAGGUCCCGCUCAGGUGAGGGCGAGGUGAGCGGCCUUAUGCGCAAGGUGCCACGAGUGAGCCUUGAACGCCUGGACCUGGACCUCACAGCUGACAGCCAGCCACC